rnacentral:rRNA from 1 species
CCUACGGGAGGCAGCAGUGGGGAAUAUUGGUCAAUGGGUGCAAGCCUGACCCAGCAACGCCGCGUGAAGGAAGAAGGCUUUCGGGUUGUAAACUUCUUUUUUCAGGGACGAAGAAAGUGACGGUACCUGCGGAAUAAGCCACGGCUAACUACGUGCCAGCAGCCGCGGUAAUACGUCGGGGGCAAGCGUUAUCCGGAUUUAUUGGGUGUAAAGGGCGUGUAGGCGGGAGCGCAAGUCAGGUGUGAAAACUCAGGGUGCAACCCUGAGCCUGCCUUUGAAACUGUGUUUCUUGAGUGCUGGAGAGGCAAUCGGAAUGCGGGGUGUAGCGGUGAAAUGCGUAGAUAUACGGAGGAACACCAGUGGCGAAGGCGGAUUGCUGAGCAGUAACUGACGCUGAGGCGCGAAAGCGUGGGGAGCAAACAGGAUUAGAUACCCCUGUAGUC